rnacentral:rRNA from 1 species
ACAUCAAAUCGUACCCCAAACCGACACAGGUGGUCAGGUAGAGAAUACCAAGGCGCUUGAGAGAACUCGGGUGAAGGAACUAGGCAAAAUGGUGCCGUAACUUCGGGAGAAGGCACGCUGACACGUAGGUGAAGUGAUUUACUCAUGGAGCUGAAGUCAGUCGAAGAUACCAGCUGGCUGCAACUGUUUAUUAAAAACACAGCACUGUGCAAACACGAAAGUGGACGUAUACGGUGUGACGCCUGCCCGGUGCCGGAAGGUUAAUUGAUGGGGUCAGCGCAAGCGAAGCUCCUGAUCGAAGCCCCGGUAAACGGCGGCCGUAACUAUAACGGUCCUAAGGUAGCGAAAUUCCUUGUCGGGUAAGUUCCGACCUGCACGAAUGGCGUAAUGAUGGCCAGGCUGUCUCCACCCGAGACUCAGUGAAAUUGAACUCGCUGUGAAGAUGCAGUGUACCCGCGGCAAGACGGAAAGACCCCGUGAACCUUUACUAUAGCUUGACACUGAACAUUGAGCCUUGAUGUGUAGGAUAGGUGGGAGGCUUUGAAGUGUGGACGCCAGUCUGCAUGGAGCCGACCUUGAAAUACCACCCUUUAAUGUUUGAUGUUCUAACGUGGACCCGUAAUCCGGGUUGCGGACAGUGUCUGGUGGGUAGUUUGACUGGGGCGGUCUCCUCCUAAAGAGUAACGGAGGAGCACGAAGGUUGGCUAAUCCUGGUCGGACAUCAGGAGGUUAGUGCAAUGGCAUAAGCCAGCUUGACUGCGAGCGUGACGGCGCGAGCAGGUGCGAAAGCAGGUCAUAGUGAUCCGGUGGUUCUGAAUGGAAGGGCCAUCGCUCAACGGAUAAAAGGUACUCCGGGGAUAACAGGCUGAUACCGCCCAAGAGUUCAUAUCGACGGCGGUGUUUGGCACCUCGAUGUCGGCUCAUCACAUCCUGGGGCUGAAGUAGGUCCCAAGGGUAUGGCUGUUCGCCAUUUAAAGUGGUACGCGAGCUGGGUUUAGAACGUCGUGAGACAGUUCGGUCCCUAUCUGCCGUGGGCGCUGGAGAACUGAGGGGGGCUGCUCCUAGUACGAGAGGACCGGAGUGGACGCAUCACUGGUGUUCGGGUUGUCAUGCCAAUGGCACUGCCCGGUAGCUAAAUGCGGAAGAGAUAAGUGCUGAAAGCAUCUAAGCACGAAACUUGCCCCGAGAUGAGUUCUCCCUGAGACUUAGAGUCUCCUGAAGGAACGUUGAAGACGACGACGUUGAUAGGCCGGGUGUGUAAGCGCAGCGAUGCGUUGAGCUAACCGGUACUAAUGAACCGUGAGGCUUAACCUUAC